UUGUAAACCUGGGUGACAGAUGGUUCUGUUGCUCGUAACAGUGGAGAAAAGAAGCAAAGAGGUUUAACCUUGAUUUAGGAGGAACUACCUCUAAACAUAAACAGAAUAGUUCAGUCUCCAUGGCCAUUCAGUCCGUGGCCUCU
rnacentral:sRNA from 1 species